rnacentral:rRNA from 1 species
AUUGAACGCUGGCGGCAUGCCUAACACAUGCAAGUCGAACGGCAGCACGUUUUAGUUUACUAGAAUGGUGGCGAGUGGCGCACGGGUGAGUAAUGCGUAGGAAUAUACCUUGAAGUGGGGGAUAACUUGGGGGAAACUCAAGCUAAUACCGCAUGAGCUCUAAGGAGGAAAGCUGGGGACCUGAGAGGGCCUGGUGCUUUAAGAAUAGCUUACGUCCGAUUAGCUAGUUGGUGGGGUAAAGGCUUACCAAGGCGACGAUCGGUAGCUGGUCUGAGAGGAUGAUCAGCCACACUGGGACUGAGACACGGCCCAGACUCCUACGGGAGGCAGCAGUGGGGAAUAUUGGACAAUGGGGGCAACCCUGAUCCAGCGAUGCCGCGUGUGUGAAGAAGGCCUGCGGGUUGUAAAGCACUUUCAGUGGGGAGGAGAGGUGACAGGUUAAGAGCUAGUUACUGAGACGUUACCCACAGAAGAAGCACCGGCUAACUCCGUGCCAGCAGCCGCAGUAAAAC